CAUUUGUUUAAUUUAAUCAUUUCUUUAACGGUUCGUCGUGUUUCGUUUCCGAGUAGAGAUCGUUGUUAAUUUAUUAAAACUUGGACAACAGAAUUUGGUAAAUUUGAACCUGAAUCUAAAAUUGUUGAAUUUGCAAUCAUGUCUUCAGCUAUGGAAUUAAAGGUGAAAACGUGGUCAGCCGCGGUUUCUGGUAAAGUUCCAGACAAUAUCGUGUCUUCACAAUUCUCCUCGCAUAAAGUAUUUAUACCCUCUUAUGAAAGAGAGAAACGUCCUUGCAUAGAACAGCUCUUGACUAAUGAAUAUCAACGCAUGUGGUGGCAGGAAAAACAAGCAUGGGAUAAAAGAUUUACAACGCCUACCAAAAAGGCAACUAUGAAAUUAUUGCAACAUAAAAUAAUUAAAAUGAAACCAACAAUAGCAACUAUAGAGAAAACAACAACACCUAUAGAGAAACCCACAUCUGUACUAAAAUCAAAAACAAUAAAAAAGCUAAAGAAGAAGAAAGAAGCAACAGCUGUAAAAACAGGCGAAAAAGAAAAAGAUGCUCUUAAACAAGAAAAAGAAACUCAGCAAAAGGAUGAAAAAUAUUGCAAACAAAACAAGGAAAUAAUGGAAAAAUAAUACGAAAAUUAACAAAAGGAACCUAUUUACAGUAAGAUUGUAAUUCCAAUAUUGCCACGUCUAAUGCUUCUGUUUUGUAACUUGCCUUAAAAUUAUCUGAACAUUUUUAUUUAUAAAAAUUUAAUAAACUCAACUAUUACUAAUAUGUCUUAUUGUUAGUAGAACUGUACAGGAACUAGUUACAUAAUUAAAAAUGUAAGUGCGUGCAAUCAACGAUGGUUUGUGUGUAACAAGCACAGAUGGCGCUUCGUACCGGAAGUGCUUGCAAGAAGCGUUGCACAGAGAGAUACGGAAAAAUAAUUUCACCUUUCUAUCUGUCUACUCCCUCUUAUAAGAAAUGAAUAUGCUUCGAUACGAUGGCUUAUCAAUUAAUUAAUGCUUCCAAAUCAUUUAUACACAGAGGUAUAAACGUGGUCGCAUUAAAAACUGGCAUUAAUGAUGAUGAUCGACAAUAAUUUGCAAUUGAAUCGCACGAUUUGUGAUAAAAUUACGUGUGGUGAACACUACAUAUGAUUGCAGUUUGUCGAAAGACGAAAGUGGAAAAUGCUGAUGCAACUUUCAGCAAUAGUUGAGUUUGAUUUCCCACAUGUGGAAUGAAUUUUUAAAAGG